rnacentral:miRNA from 1 species
CUGGUGGCUCUGCCGCAGC